UGGGGAAUAUUGCGCAAUGGGCGAAAGCCUGACGCAGCGACGCCGCGUGGGUGAUGAAGGCCUUCGGGUCGUAAAGCCCUGUCGGGAGGGACGAAACCUCGGUGACCUAAUACGUCGCCGACCUGACGGUACCUCUUAAGGAAGCACCGGCUAACUCCGUGCCACCAGCCGCGGUAAUACGGAGGGCGCGAGCGUUGUUCGGAAUUACUGGGCGUAAAGCGCGUGCAGGCGGUCUCUUAAGUCUGGUGUGAAAGCCCGGGGCGCACCCCCGGAAGGGAACCGGGGACUGGGAGGCUAGAGUACCGUGGAGGAAGGUCGAAUUCCUGGUGUAGCGGCGAAAGGCGUAGAUAUCACGAAGAACUCCGAUUGCGAAGGCAGCUGACCGAGGUACAACGGACGCUGAUGCACGAAAGUGU
rnacentral:rRNA from 1 species